UACGUAGGCAGCGAGCGUUGUUCGGAAUUACUGGGCGUAAAGAGUGUGUAGGCGGUGCUCUAAGUUCGGUGUGAAAUCUCCUGGCUUAACUGGGAGGGUGCGCCGGAAACUGGGGUGCUCGAGCGUGGGAGAGGAAAGCGGAAUUCCUGGUGUAGCGGUGAAAUGCGUAGAUAUCAGGAGGAACACCUGUGGUGUAGACAGCUUUCUGGACCAUUGCUGACGCUGGGACACGAAAGCGUGGGUAGCAAACAGG
rnacentral:rRNA from 1 species